rnacentral:rRNA from 1 species
UGGGGAAUAUUGCACAAUGGAGGGAACUCUGAUGCAGCGACGCCGCGUGAACGAAGAAGGCUUUCGAGUCGUAAAGUUCUUUUAUAUGGGAAGAUAAUGACGGUACCAUAAGAAAAAGCCCCGGCUAACUACGUGCCAGCAGCCGCGGUAAUACGUAGGGGGCUAGCGUUGUCCGGAAUCACUGGGCGUAAAGGGUUCGCAGGCGGAAAUGCAAGUCAGGUGUAAAAGGCAGUAGCUUAACUACUGUAAGCAUUUGAAACUGCAUAGCUUGAGAAGAGGAGAGGUAAGUGGAAUUUUUAGUGUAGCGGUGAAAUGCGUAGAUAUUAAAAAGAAUACCGGUGGCGAAGGCGACUUACUGGGCUCAUUCUGACGCUGAGGAACGAAAGCGUGGGUAGCAAACAGG